rnacentral:tRNA from 1 species
GCCGGGAUAGCAUCAUCGGUUAAGGCAUCGCCCCGAAUAGGCGAAUAUUGCGGGUUCGAUCCCCGCUUCUGCUC